rnacentral:rRNA from 1 species
CACGUAGGGCGCAAGCGUUGUCCGGAAUUAUUGGGCGUAAAGAGCUCGUAGGCGGCCUGUUGCGUCCGCUGUGAAAGCCCGGGGCUUAACCCCGGGUCGCAGUGGAUACGGGCAGGCUAGAGGUAGGUAGGGGAGAAUGGAAUUCCCGGUGUAGCGGUGAAAUGCGCAGAUAUCGGGAGGAACACCGGUGGCGAAGGCGGUUCUCUGGGCCUUACCUGACGCUGAGGAGCGAAAGCGUGGGGGAGCGAACAGG